GAGUAAGUUAAGAGCGUCUUAAGGUUUACUGAGGAAGAUAGGAUGGAGUUAAAUCAAACGAAAUGUAAAGAAAUGACAAUUGACUUUCGGGAAAAUGUAACUGUUAUUCCACCGCUAGAAAAGGGUUGAAUGUUACAAAUUACUUGGAUUAUGGGUCGAUGACGAUUUGAAGUGGUCUACUAACACAUGCUAUAUUGUUAAAAAAAACGGUAAAAAGAUUGUAGGCUACUUUCUGAAGAUAUUAAAAGCGGUUAUAAUGCACCCAAGCAGGAUCUAAAAGCCUUUUACACUGCUGUCAUAAGAUCGACGCUCGAAUACUGUACUCAAAUCUGGCAUGGAAAAUUAACCAAGGAACAGUCUAUUGAUAUAGAACUACAAUCCUGUGCAAACAUUUUUGGAGAAUGCAUUUAUCCGCAGUUUCUCAGUGAUAUAUGAACUGUUCUUCCCCCCUCCCCCCA